rnacentral:rRNA from 1 species
AUACGUAGGGUGCUAGCGUUGUCCGGAAUUACUGGGUGUAAAGGGAGCGUAGGCGGGGAUGCAAGUCAAGUGUUAAAUAUAUCGGCUCAACCGGUAUCCGCGCUUGAAACUGUGUCUCUUGAGUAGAGUAGAGGCAGGCGGAAUUCCUAGUGUAGCGGCGAAAUGCGUAGAUAUUAGGAGGAACACCAGUGGCGAAGGCGGCCUGCUGGGCUUUUACUGACGCUGAGGCUCGAAAGUGUGGGGAGC